GGCCCCGUAGCUCAGUUGGAUCAGAGCACCGUGCUUCGAACGCGGGGGUCGCAGGUUCGAGCCCUGCCGGGGUCG
rnacentral:tRNA from 1 species